rnacentral:rRNA from 1 species
AUGAACGCUAGCUACAGGCUUAACACAUGCAAGUCGAGGGGCAUCAGGAAGAAAGCUUGCUUUCUUUGCUGGCGACCGGCGCACGGGUGAGUAACACGUAUCCAACCUGCCCUUUACUCGGGGAUAGCCUUUCGAAAGAAAGAUUAAUACCCGAUAGCAUAAUGAUUCCGCAUGGUUUCAUUAUUAAAGGAUUCCGGUAGAGGAUGGGGAUGCGUUCCAUUAGGUUGUUGGUGAGGUAACGGCUCACCAAGCCUUCGAUGGAUAGGGGUUCUGAGAGGAAGGUCCCCCACAUUGGAACUGAGACACGGUCCAAACUCCUACGGGAGGCAGCAGUGAGGAAUAUUGGUCAAUGGGCGCUAGCCUGAACCAGCCAAGUAGCGUGAAGGAUGAAGGCUCUAUGGGUCGUAAACUUCUUUUAUAUAAGAAUAAAGUGCAGUAUGUAUACUGUUUUGUAUGUAUUAUAUGAAUAAGGAUCGGCUAACUCCGUGCCAGCAGCCGCGGUAAUACGGAGGAUCCGAGCGUUAUCCGGAUUUAUUGGGUUUAAAGGGAGCGUAGGUGGACUGGUAAGUCAGUUGUGAAAGUUUGCGGCUCAACCGUAAAAUUGCAGUUGAUACUGUCAGUCUUGAGUACAGUAGAGGUGGGCGGAAUUCGUGGUGUAGCGGUGAAAUGCUUAGAUAUCACGAAGAACUCCGAUUGCGAAGGCAGCUCACUGGACUGCAACUGACACUGAUGCUCGAAAGUGUGGGUAUCAAACAGGAUUAGAUACCCUGGUAGUCCACACAGUAAACGAUGAAUACUCGCUGUUUGCGAUAUACAGUAAGCGGCCAAGCGAAAGCAUUAAGUAUUCCACCUGGGGAGUACGCCGGCAACGGUGAAACUCAAAGGAAUUGACGGGGGCCCGCACAAGCGGGGGAACAUGUGGUUUAAUUCGAUGAUACGCGAGGAACCUUACCCGGGCUUAAAUUGCAGUGGAAUGAUGUGGAAACAUGUCAGUGAGCAAUCACCGCUGUGAAGGUGCUGCAUGGUUGUCGUCAGCUCGUGCCGUGAGGUGUCGGCUUAAGUGCCAUAACGAGCGCAACCCUUAUCUUUAGUUACUAACAGGUUAUGCUGAGGACUCUAGAGAGACUGCCGUCGUAAGAUGUGAGGAAGGUGGGGAUGACGUCAAAUCAGCACGGCCCUUACGUCCGGGGCUACACACGUGUUACAAUGGGGGGUACAGAAGGCAGCUAGCGGGUGACCGUAUGCUAAUCCCAAAAGCCUCUCUCAGUUCGGAUCGAAGUCUGCAACCCGACUUCGUGAAGCUGGAUUCGCUAGUAAUCGCGCAUCAGCCACGGCGCGGUGAAUACGUUCCCGGGCCUUGUACACACCGCCCGUCAAGCCAUGGGAGCCGGGGGUACCUGAAGUACGUAACCGCAAGGAUCGUCCUAGGGUAAAACUGGUGACUGGGGCU